rnacentral:tRNA from 1 species
GGGGAUAUAGUUUAAUUGGGAAAACUGCGAUUUUGCAUAUCGUUAUUUCAGGACCGAGACCUGAUAUCUCCA